rnacentral:sRNA from 2 species
ACCGAUCGAGCACUGAUGGUGAUGAUCGGAAGCGGAGCCGGGGAACCAGGUUUCUCCGGGGUGAAUCGGCCCGCUGUGUCGCGAACGCGGUCACGGGCUGUAGGGCGCCUUCCCCGCCCGAACCCGUCAGCUAACCCGGUAGGCGGCCGAGGAAGCAAGG